rnacentral:tRNA from 1 species
GGUGGUGUAGCUCAGUGGUAGAGCACAUGCUUAGCAUGCACAAGGUCCUAGGUUCAAUCCCCCAGAACCGUCA